ACGCUGGCGGCACGCCUAACACAUGCAAGUCGAACGAAGUAGCAAUACUUAGUGGCAGACGGGUGAGUAACAUGUAGGUAUCUGCCCUUUGGCCUGGAAUAACACGAGGAAACUUGUGCUAAUACCGGAUAAGUCUUUACAGAGAAAGCUUUAUGCACCAUUGGAUGAGCCUGCACUUGAUUAGUUUGUUGGUGGGGUAAUGGCCUACCAAGACUGUGAUCAAUAGCUGAUUUGAGAGGAUGAUCAGCCACAUUGGGACUGAGACACGGCCCAAACUCCUACGGGAGGCAGCAGUGGGGAAUCUUGCACAAUGGAGGAAACUCUGAUGCAGCGAUGCCGCGUGAGUGAAGAAGGCCCUUGGGUUGUAAAGCUCUUUCGUCGGGGAAGAAAAUGACUGUACCCGAAUAAGAAGGUCCGGCUAACUUCGUGCCAGCAGCCGCGGUAAUACGAAGGGACCUAGCGUAGUUCGGAAUUACUGGGCUUAAAGAGUUCGUAGGUGGUUGAAAAAGUUAGUGGUGAAAUCCCAGAGCUUAACUCUGGAACUGCCAUUAAAACUUUUUAGCUAGAGUAUGAUAGAGGAAAGCAGAAUUUCUAGUGUAGAGGUGAAAUUCGUAGAUAUUAGAAAGAAUACCAAUUGCGAAGGCAGCUUUCUGGAUCAUUACUGACACUGAGGAACGAAAGCAUGGGUAGCGAAGAGGAUUAGAUACCCUCGUAGUCCAUGCCGUAAACGAUGUGUGUUAGACGUUGGAAAUUUAUUUUCAGUGUCGCAGGGAAACCGAUAAACACACCGCCUGGGGAGUACGACCGCAAGGUUAAAACUCAAAUGAAUUGACGGGGACCCGCACAAGUAGUGGAGCAUGUGGUUUAAUUCGAAGAUACGCGCAGAACCUUACCAACACUUGACAUGUUCGUCGCGACUCUAAGAGAUUAGAGUUUUCGGUUCGGCCGGACGAAACACAGGUGCUGCAUGGCUGUCGUCAGCUCGUGUCGUGAGAUGUUGGGUUAAGUCCCGCAACGAGCGCAACCCUCACUUUUAGUUGCCAUCAUUAAGUUGGGCACUCUGAAAGAACUGCCAGUGAUAAGCUGGAGGAAGGUGGGGAUGACGUCAAGUCCUCAUGGCCCUUACGUGUUGGGCUACACACGUGCUACAAUGGUAUCUACAACAGGAAGCAAGACUGCGAAGUUAAGCAAAUCCCUAAAAGAUACCUCAGUUCGGAUUGCACUCUGCAACUCGAGUGCAUGAAGCUGGAAUUACUAGUAAUCGUGGAUCAGCGUGCCACGGUGAAUGCGUUCCCGGGUCUUGUACUCACCGCC
rnacentral:rRNA from 1 species